GUGGGUACAGCUCAGUGGUAGAGUGCAUGCUUAGCACGCACGAGGUCUUGGGUUCAAUCCUCAGUACUGCCA
rnacentral:tRNA from 1 species